AUUCAGACCAGUGCUAAACGAGAAAAAGUAUUAAUGGAGAACAGGCUACAUGUGGCGGACUGGUUCGGAGAACAACGGACAAUUAUGAAAGGAACGGCUAAUGAUAGUAUGUUUAUGAUGCAGUACCCUGAAUUGACUUGGAUGAUGAAGCUUGAUGCAUGUAUGUCGGCCAGAUGCUGUCGCGUCGGCUUUGGAUCCCAGUUUUCAUGCCAAACACUACUAACAACUCUAAGGAGGACCAGUAGUAACUAUAGAUGGACAACUGAGCUCAAUUGCAAAAAGGAUUUCAAGUUAAGCUAAUCUGGAACCCUGCCUUGUUUAUCGUGGCCCUUUUCACCCACGAGCUGGAAUGCUUCCCUGACUAAAAGGUAUGGUGUCUAUAUUGGCAGCUAACAUGGCGAUCUUACAAUCAUCUCGGGUGUUACGGAAGAGAGCGUCAAAUUUCCGGCCGUCAUCCCACUGAUACGACAUGCUCCGGAAAAUUCGCACCAUAUCCAGAUUUGAGUAGCCCUCGCAACAAUCGUUCCCGCCUAGAACGCGAUUCAUUAGGUAUGAAUGCAUUUCUAACAUGCAACUCAUGAUGCAGUUCUUCAUCCGUUAGAUGACCGGUGUUUAUGCAAGAAUAUAAUCUUUUUAAUUGAGGUAAAUCCAUUUUUUUUUAAUAUUUACCGAAUAUAAACGCGAACUAGAAAAGAAAAUAGCAACUAAAAGUUCUAAAUAUAGUUUGCAAAAUAUUAAACUUAUUUGAUUAAAAAAACUCGCCAGCAACGCUCUCAGUACACUAGGAAAAAAAAACAGUUUUUUAAAUAAAUCUAAAUAACUAAACUAACAAGGCCAAAUGAAAAUGUGUAGCUAAUCAACGCUGAAUAUAACGAUACAAAUUAAUAUUAUAUAAACACGAUAAAAAUAACUGAGAAUUGUUUUUUUUUUUUGGUGUAUAGCUGGUAAUAAAAUCGCACAAGAAAAUUUCUCCAAUCAACACAUG